rnacentral:rRNA from 1 species
GACGAACGCUGGCGGCGUGCUUAACACAUGCAAGUCGAACGGAAGAGCCCUGCUUUUGUGGGGUGCCCGAGUGGCGAACGGGUGAGUAACAUGUGAGUAACCUGCCCUUGACUUUGGGAUGUCUUCAGGAAGCUGGUACUAAUACCGGCGAGCAGCUCCUGCAGCUUGGUGGGGGUCGGAACGUUUGGUCGGUUGGGGAUGGACUCGCGGCUUACGAGCUUGUUGGUGGGGUAGUGGCUUACCAAGGCUUUGACGGCUAGCCGGCCUGGGAGGGUGAACGGGGACAUUGGGACUGAGAGACGGCGCAGACUGCAACGGGAGGCAGCAGUGGGGAAUAUGGUACAAUGGGGGGGAGCCUGAUGCGGCAGCGCCCCGUGUGGGAUGACGGCCUUGGGGGUGGAAAGCGCAUUAGCUUAUGACGAAGCGUGAGUGACGGUAAUGGGUAAAGAAGCACCGGCUAACUACGUG